GUUUGUUCACGUGGUGGAAUCCCAAAAGAAGGAGUGGAAGCAUGCAAUGCUUCUUGAGACUUAGACUGAGAACCAGUACACUAUAACUUUCAUCACAUCCUGCUGGCCAAAGCAAAUCCAAAUUCAAGAGGAUCAUGGCGGCCACUGUGUUGGAGAUAGACUAAAAAGGGACAGAGCCAGAAGCAAGGGACCAGCUGGGAGGCCACUCCAACUACACAGCGCCAGAGCCCAUGAAGCGAGGUCAGGUCCUGAUGCUGCUGUGGAUCGAUGGCCCUCGGACGCCCGCGUGAGGCUGCGGCGGCUCAGCAAUUUCCUGCCAUCACUUGCUGUGCACAAAUGAAAUCACUUCCAGUGACCUAAUGCAUGCUGCUGCCACCGAGAAAACUGAAAAAAGAGGUGAAGAGGGAGCCGCAGGAGAAGCCGGGGAGCACAGGUGCUCUCAGGCUGUGUCUCUAGGGUGCAGUGAGACUGGAAGGGCAUUUGCAACCCAGGAAGGCAGCUCGCUGUCCAGAAACACGCCUGCCUCCCUUUGCCCACUUGUGAAGUCAUCAGAAGCUACCUGAGAGCCGAGCAUGGGCUUCUGAGGGGUCUGCAAAGACCCUGAACUUGUCUGCAGGCUUUGGUGUGAGUGUGCAGGUUAUCUGGGAAGAUUUCCCAAAGAAUCUGUGCCCCUCAAAAGGUGGCAUUGCCUUAAAGAGCUGGCAGCUUCCCCUCCGGGUUCCCUGAAUAUCGCCAGAGUGAAUUAGCACUGGGAGCUCCGAGAUGUCCUUGCUGGCAGUGGCCAUGGGUGCUGGUCUAUCCACAGCCCCCUGAAGCCGAAGGUGGAAGGUCAGUCCAGCUGCCUUUCUGCUUCCCUGGACUCCCUGCUGUAGCCCCAGCCCUGGAGCCAGCGUGACCCUGGGGGAAGCCUGCCUCUCACUCCAGAGGCAACCUGGGCCCCGCACAACCAGGGCAGCCCUCCCCCCGAGGGAAGAGAAGUGGGGGAAGGGAAGCCACACUCUGGGAUCAGGCGCAGUGCCCAUCACUUCAGAGCAUCCAUUUACUUCUUACAACACCUGCGACAUGGACCUCAUUGUCCCCAUCUUCGAAAGGGUGAAGCUAAGGCCUGGAGACAUUCACUUGCUCAAGAUUACACUGAGACCUCUCUGUUGGGUCAGGUGUGCAGGCCUGCUGUCCCCAGAGCCAAGGCUUUUCAGCCCCAGGACACAAGAGAUCGUUCGGGGGGGCGGGGGGGGGGGCAGUCUGCGAACCAUUGUGUUAUAGCUGUGGUUCCCCCACAGCAGUGUUUGCUCCCACGGUCCAGCAUUUGCACGUCCUGUUUCCACUGUCUGCGGGUCCCGCUCAGCCACUGUGGACUUGAGAAAAAAUCCACUCGCCUGUCAGCCCUCAGCUCAGCUUUCUUCUGUGCUCGGAAACCCUCUCUGCCCUCCCCCAGCCUCCCCCCCGCCCCCGCAGCCGAUUUCAGUCCUUUCUUCUCAGCUCCCAAAGCACAACACAGACUUUUAUUAAAGGACACAACACGGAGUUCCCGUCGUGGCGCAGUGGUUAGCGAAUCCGACUAGGAACCAUGAGGUUGCAGGUUCGGUCCCUGCCCUUGCUCAGUGGGUUGACGAUCCGGCGUUGCCGUGAGCUGUGGUGUAGGUUGCAGACGCGGCUCGGAUCCAGCGUUGCUGUGGCUCUGGUGUAGGCCGGUGGCUGCAGCUCCGAUUGGACCCCUAGCCUGGGAACCUCCAUAUGCCGCGGGAGCGGCCCAAAGAAAUAACAAAAAGACAAAAAAAAAAAAAAAAAAAAAAAA
rnacentral:lncRNA from 1 species